rnacentral:ncRNA from 1 species
GAUUGCAGCAGUACCCCCUCAAAGCGUAACACAGGUGUCCUAAGGCAAGCUCAGGGAGGAUGGAAGCUUCUAGCAGAGCAGAAGGGCAAAAGCUCAUUUGAUCUUGAGUUUCAAUACAAAUACAGACCGUGAAACUAGG